UAGGGAAUCUUCGGCAAUGGGGGGAACCCUGACCGAGCAACGCCGCGUGAGUGAAGAAGGUUUUCGGAUCGUAAAGCUCUGUUGUUAAGGAAGAACGAGCGUGAGAAUGGAAAGUUCAUGCUGUGACGGUACUUAACCAGAAAGGGACGGCUAACUACGUGCCAGCAGCCGCGGUAAUACGUAGGUCCCGAGCGUUGUCCGGAUUUAUUGGGCGUAAAGCGAGCGCAGGCGGUUAGAAAAGUCUGAAGUGAAAGGCAGUGGCUCAACCAUUGUAGGCUUUGGAAACUGUUUAACUUGAGUGCAGAAGGGGAGAGUGGAAUUCCAUGUGUAGCGGUGAAAUGCGUAGAUAUAUGGGGGAACACCGGUGGCGAAAGCGGCUCUCUGGUCUGUAACUGACGCUGAGGCGCGAAAGCGUGGGGAGCAAACAGG
rnacentral:rRNA from 1 species